ensembl:ncRNA F45H11.10 ncRNA
CACCCUCACUUUUCCAUAUCUCCAUUUUCUGUUAACUCCUCUUCUUUUUUCUCACUCAAUUCUCAUGCCCUGCGGGUGCUUCAAGUGGAAUCGAAUUUGUGUCUAUCUCGUUUUUGCCAUCUGAUGACACAAG